rnacentral:rRNA from 1 species
GCCUACGGGUGGCAGCAGUGGGGAAUCUUCCGCAAUGGACGAAAGUCUGACGGAGCAACGCCGCGUGAGUGAAGAAGGUUUUCGGAUCGUAAAGCUCUGUCUUUUGGGACGAAUGUGCUCUUUGUGAAUAAUGAAGAGUAAUGACGGUACCGAAGGAGGAAGCCACGGCUAACUACGUGCCAGCAGCCGCGGUAAUACGUAGGUGGCAAGCGUUGUCCGGAAUGAUUGGGCGUAAAGCGCGCGCAGGCGGAAUAAUAAGUCUGUCGUGAAAGUGCGGGGCUCAACCCCGUGAUUGCAAUGGAAACUGUUAUUCUUGAGUGCAGGAGAGGAAAGUGGAAUUCCUAGUGUAGCGGUGAAAUGCGUAGAUAUUAGGAGGAACACCAGUGGCGAAGGCGACUUUCUGGACUGUGUCUGACGCUGAGGCGCGAAAGCCAGGGUAGUGAACGGGAUUAGAUACCCCGGUAGUC